rnacentral:rRNA from 1 species
GCUUGGCCCUAAAUCUUGAUCCUUCCCUCACUGAAGCAUCCGCCUGAGAACUACGAGCACAAACGCUUAAAACUCUAAGGACUUGGCGGUGCUCUAAACCCAUCUAGAGGAGCCUGUUCUGUAAUCGAUAACCCACGAUGUACCUAACCCUCCCUCGCCAAAUCAGCCUAUAUACCGCCGUCGCCAGUUCACCUCUAUUGAAAGCCCAACAGUGAACACAAUAGUCCAAGCCCACUAACAAGACAGGUCAAGGUAUAGCCCACGGGAGGGAAGAAAUGGGCUACAUUCUCUAAAUUAGAGCAUACUGCAAGGGAUGUGAAAUCUUCCCCAAAAGGCGGAUUUAGCAGUAAAGCGGAACAAGAAUGUCCCCUUUAAACCGGCCCUAGAGCACGUACAUACCGCCCGUCACCCUCCUCACAAGCCACCAACCUACUAACUAAUACACCACCAGAGCUAAAGACGAGGUAAGUCGUAACAAGGUAAGCGUACCGGAAGGUGCGCUUAGUCCAC